UGUAUGAUCUUUUCUUGGAUCUCCAUGGUAAAGAUACUGGAGAGUGGUUGCGGAGGAGGAGGUGGUUUUUGCAGAGAUACUGAGAGAGAGAAGAGGAUAUUGAUGUGGGAGUUAUCUGAAGGUGCAGAUAUUCUCUGAGGGGAAGUGUUGUGUUAUUUGGGUUAAGGGAACCCUAAUUUUUGGUCACUUUACUAAAUCUGUAACUCUGUAUGUUGUCUCUUUGUUGAUGGUGAGAAAAGUU
rnacentral:misc_RNA from 1 species